CCCCUUUCCUCCCUUUUCUCUUGGAGUCAGGCAUGGCAACCUAGGUAGCUUCAGCUGUCAAUAUAACUCAUGUUACAGUUAUAUGAAGAGUCUCAUUGGAGGGAAGGCCCAAUCAGGUUGGCCAGUGAACAUCGGUAAGAGACUGUCUUUACUGAUGACUGAUAUGGGAGGGCAUGGCCCACUGUGGGUAGCACUAUCCUUAGGCAGGUGAAUCUGGGUUUCGGCUGUGUAGGAAAUCCAGCUCAACGUGCUGGCAAACAGCAUUCUUUUAUGGGUUCUGUGAAAAUUCUUGCCCUGACUUCUCUUCAGUGGUGGAUUGUGACCUGGAAGUAUAAUUCAUAUGGAGGGACAAGAGGCAGACAGAUACCACAUUAACAUUGAAGAAUGAUGCAACAAAGAAAAAGAAUGUGAUUCAGUCUCUGAUGACAGGAGCAGAGAUGGGCUUGGAGGUAGAGUUGGAUGGCUUCCCCUUAAGUACACAGAGUUAAAGGGAACUGAAUGAUCAAAGAAGGGGUAGAUUGAUUUCUACAACGGAGGAGAGAGGAUAGGUCAGUGAAGACAGGAAGCAUCACUGGAUCCUUCGGCAUAGAGGAACCCUUGAGUGUGUGUCUUCUUUCUGUUUGCCUCCUCCUCUCUGCAUCUGUCUGAGGUUGAGCUGCCUAGAUUCCUGCAGAACCAAGGUCACGGGAAAGGUCUUGAGGCUCACAGGGUCAGAGCUGCACACCUCCUUGGAAGACACCAGGAUUUGCUCUCAUUCCACAGAUGACCCAAGAGCUCCUAGACUUGUCUAGAAGACACGUGGAGAACCAGAAUGACAAGGCCUGCUCCUGUGUAUGUGUCCUAAAGGCACUUCCUGUCUGGACUAGUGCAGGAGAUCAGAGUCUCAAAUUCAAGAGCAAGAUAAAUAACCUAUAGAGGGGGAACUUCUUGGAUGAGGUCAACAAGCACCCACAAUUCCUUCAAAGGACAAUGAUCAUGGUUUGGACGGUCAUGACUUUUUGUGGAACAGCAGAGCAGGGAAAGAGUAUGCUUUCUGCUAAAAUCGGCAACAUCAUCUCCUCUGGGAACUCUUAAGAAGCCUGUUACCUGACCUCUUCACAGCCGCACAAACCCAGUCGCCAAUAUUUGCAUACUUUCUCCAAGGACGCAGUUCCCCCGGGACAGUUCAUAAAUCCACAUCUUGGGAAAUGUUCAUAGGAUGCUACAAACUAAACAGGGCUUUGUUAAAUAAAGCUGGGGUGUACUGAUGGCAUCAGUCUGCUUCUUUCUAGAGAAGUGUUUCUUGACCUGUCGGUUGCAACUGCUUUGGUUGAAAGACCCUUUCACAGAGGUCACCUGAGACCAUUGGAAAACACAGAUAUUAACAGUAGCAAAAUUAUAGUUAUGAUGUAGCAAUGAGAAUAAUUUUAUGGUUAGGGGUCAGCACAACAUAAGGAAGUGUAUUAAAGAGUCUUAGAAUAAGGGAAACUGAGCAGGAGUGGAUCUUGGGCAGAGAAAAGCGCUCGCCCUCUCUCUCUCUCUCUCUCUCUCUCUCUCUCUCUCUCUCUCUCUCGUGUGUGUGUGUGUG
rnacentral:sRNA from 1 species